GCUUGUGUGUGAGCGCCUCCCUUAAACUCACUCUUACAACAGAACGCACUAAACACAAGUUUGGACAAUAUUUAUGAUCUACGACUCUAACCGCUUGAACAUAUCAAGAUGUUAUUCCCUUUUUUCUCUCUCUUUAUUUUCAACCAGUCUAACUGAUCUGUGCUUUUAAGUGUUCUGCGAAGACCGAACAUAGGCGAAUUUUUUAACGGCAUGCAGAGGAAUUAAGCAGUCGGGUGAUCGGAGCGUCGAGGCUGUAUCGCUCUGAAAUCCAACCCGUGGAUUGAGGCCUAAAUCCCCACAGCGGAUACAUGAUUGUGGUUUAUCAGUUGACAUGAGGAAAGAAGAUACUGAACCGAGUCAGGACGGUUUUGCUGCCGAUCGUUUGAGACAGGCCCUCCUCCAGUCCUGAAUCGAGCAUGACGGAGGUCCAGGCCACAGUUGAGUUCUCUGUGG